UACAGCAACUACACGCCUUAUAGCCAGGAAAAAUGAAUGAAACGAAGCAAUUAGUGUUGAUAACACGCAGUCAAGGCGACUCAAAACACCACCAGCUUUGAUUUUCUGUCACAAGGCAAUUUAUAGGCGAUUAUCUUAGAACAUUACGAAGAAACAACAGACAGAAAUGUCUAAAAGCAGCCUUACUCAAGAAGAAAAUUAGCUCAGUUAAAGCUGACACAGUCUGGAUCUUUCAGUAGUAAAAACGUCAGCAUCUCUGUUAUUGGUAUAUUAAAUGUUUCUUCUGUUGACGCCAUUGAAAAGAUAUGACUUACCUGUAGGCUACACGAGACUUACGAGAGAACUCGAAGAAAAAUCUCGUCGCUGUAUUUCACAUCAGUCACUCCGACUUGAGAGCUAAGGGUCCUGCGGAUAUGCAACGACAUUACGGUGAGUAAAUAAUUUUUCAUUUUGAAUAACUUUUUUAGUCAUUUUGUACCCAUUAAAGAUAAUUUCACAUAAUACUCAUUUUACAGUAUACAGUAACCUACAUACAACCAAUAGCAUGAUAGGCCUAAGUGCUUUCCACCCAUUCACUGACUAAAACUUUCUUCACAUGGAAAGUUGAGGUUCAGUAUAGGGCUAAGGAAGACAUACAGUAGCCCUGUGGCUCUCAGGUUAAACCUGCACCAUAAUUUUUCAGAUCAGUGUUUGUUUUUCUUGGGUUUUCUUCUCCUCACGCACAUCUCCCCUCUGCACACUUCUCUGCCUACUUUUUCCUUUUGGAGGACGGCUGUGGAUGGUGCCGCGGCUGUCAUCCGGCAAAGCUGCUUUAUUGCAGGUCGGGGGUCUGGGCUCUUCCUCAAGCCUUCAAUCCCUCAUUUCCACAAGCUGAAAACAAGAAAUAUAGAGCCUCUGGAAGGAAUCGCCACUGGAAGCUCAUAACCAUAAAUACUCCCACAAUAUUUAUGUUGUUGCUUUUCUCAUCAAUUUUAAUUUUUUUUAUUCACGAGACAGUUGAGGUUACAGUGUUCUGUCAAGGAAAGUACAGAAUUUUGAACAAUCUUUUACCUCCCAGAUUUUUAUCAAUGCCUUCUACACCAUGAUGGUAUAAAUUAACUAUGUCAAACAAAUGGUCCUAAUAUAUCAAUAAAUAAUUAUUAUAAUAGCUGAAA